AUGGCUGUCGUCAGCUCGUGUCGUGAGAUGUUAGGUUAAGUCCUGCAACGAGCGCAACCCCUAUAUUUAGUUGCCAGCACAUAAUGGUGGGGACUCUAAAUAGACUGCCCGGAAUAACCGGGAGGAAGGUGGGGAUGAUGUCAAGUCAGUAUGUCCCUUAUACCCAGGGCUACACACGUGUUACAAUGGAUGGUACAAAAAGUAGCAAUUCCGCGAGGAGGAGCCAAUCUUUAAAACUAUCCCCAGUUCAGAUUGAAGUCUGAAAUUCGACUUCAUGAAGCAGGAAUCGCUAGUAAUCGCAGAUCAGCGCGCUGCGGUGAAUACGUUCCCGGGUCUUGUACACACCGCCCGUCACACCAUGGAAGUUGGUUACACCUGAAGGCAAAACGUAAAACUUUUGACUACGGUACGAUCAGCGACUGGGGUGAAGUCGUAACAAGGUAGCCGUAGGGGAACCUGCGGCUGGAUCACCUCCUUAUACGAUUUAGAACUUAUUUGUUCGUAGUGUCCACACAGAUGAUUGUUAAUUAGUACUUGUUCUUCGGAAUAACUAAUUAAUAUGCUCUUUAAAAAUUUGGAAAAGCUGAUAAUAAAAUUCUGAUAGAUACUUUGUAUUUAUCAAGAGUUUUCAAAAGUAAAAAAAGAAUGGUAGCAGUACCAUUCAGUGCCAUUUGAUUGACGUUUUACGUUGAUUGAUUGGUAUCUACUUUAGUAUUCAAUAUUAACUUCUGGCGAAGUUAAACUGUCACAAAACAAAGACCCGUUUGGGUUGUAUGGUUAAGUGACUAAGCGUACACGGUGGAUGCCUUGGCAGUUGGAGGCGAUGAAGGACGUAUUAACUUGCGAUAAGCCUAGUCAAGCUAGUAAAAAGCGCUUGAGACUAGGAUCUCCGAAUGGGGAAACCCGG
rnacentral:sRNA from 1 species